AGGCUGACCCUUUUUGAGGAGCGCACUUCCCUCUCCCGGGGAGCGUUUGCCGCCGACGCGGCCGCCACUCCGGGUUUCUCUGCGCACCUCGAGGAGGAAUCCAGGGCGGAAAAGCUGAGCCGAGGCGCCAGUAUCCUACCCUAGUCCCACCCAGGAUCGCCUGGCAGGCAUGGGCGAGAAGAGCUGGCUGCCCGUCCCCGUGCUCCUUCUGGCCGCUCUGCCGCCGGUGCUGCUGCCCGGGGCGGCAGGCUUCACUCCCUCCUUAGACAGUGACUUCACCUUUACCCUUCCGGCCGGCCAGAAGGAGUGUUUCUACCAGCCCAUGCCCCUGAAGGCCUCGCUGGAGAUCGAGUACCAGGUUUUAGAUGGAGCAGGGUUAGAUAUUGAUUUUCAUCUUGCCUCUCCAGAAGGCAAAACCUUAGUUUUUGAACAAAGAAAAUCAGAUGGUGUUCACACUGUAGAGACUGAAGAUGGCGACUACAUGUUCUGCUUUGACAAUACAUUUAGCACUAUUUCUGAGAAGGUGAUUUUCUUUGAAUUAAUCCUUGAUAAUAUGGGAGAGCAGGCACAAGAACAAGAAGAUUGGAAGAAAUAUAUUACCGGCACAGAUAUGCUAGACAUGAAACUGGAGGAUAUCCUGGAAUCAAUUAACAGCAUCAAGUCCAGACUAAGCAAAAGUGGCCACAUCCAAACUCUGCUGAGAGCAUUUGAAGCUCGUGAUCGAAACAUACAAGAAAGCAACUUUGAUAGAGUCAAUUUCUGGUCUAUGGUUAAUUUGGUGGUGAUGGUGGUGGUGUCAGCCAUUCAAGUUUAUAUGCUGAAGAGUCUAUUUGAUGAUAAGAGGAAAAGUAGAACUUAAAACUCCAAGCAAGAGUUUGGAAAAAAGAGGAUGGAAAAAUGCAAUAAACUGUUACAGUCAAGACCAUUGUCUUCCAAAAUGCUUUCAAGCAUUGUCAUUCAGUGUGAAACAAGUAUAAUUUUAAUGUGAAAGGGAAAUCUUCAUUUUCUGUGCAGAGACAGAAACUUCCAUUUCCUGGUUCGAAUGCAACAGCGAGGCACCUGGAACUUAAUCUUGAGUGUCCCACAUGGGUGGCAGCAAGCCGAGUACGCCUAGGAUGUGCAUUACCAGGAAUGCUGGAAUGGGAAGCAGAGAUGGAACUGAACCAGGCGCUCAGGAGGAAGUAGGCAUCCCACAUGGCGUACUAACAAGCUCCUGGCCCUAGAAAUUGACUCCCUGAAAUAUUGGCUCAGGAAUCUUCUUUUUUAUGCAACUUGAUGGAAUUUAAUCAGUUAUACCUGGACCAAUUCACUAAGCAGGUGAUCCUGGAAACUCCAAACUCCUUUGAACCUAUUUUAUUUGUAAAAAAAUUUUAUUUUUCAAGAUGUUAUUUAUUUCAGAGUUAGAGGGGAGAGAGAAUCUUCCACCAAAUAGUUCACUCCUUCAACAGCUGGGCACAUCUGAAGCAGGAGCCAAGAACUUCCUCCAGGUCCCUAAUGAGGGAGCAGGGAUCCAAGCAGAGAGCUGGAUUGGAAGAGGGGCAGCUGGGACUCAAACCAACACCCAUAUGGGAUGCUGGUGCCAUAGGCGGAGGCUUUGCCCACUAUGCCACUUUUAAGUAACAUAGCAUGUUAGAAAGUACAAUAUUUGGUAUAGGUUGAUGUAUUGUUGGUCAUUUCCUUAAUGCCAACUCAACAAGCCACUCUUAGGAAGUAAGUUUAAAAAAAAGUCCUUAAGUAUCUUUCUGCUUGUGCACUCCUGUUAUUUUCAGGUGUCUAGGGGGAAGAGCAGAUUAAAUAAUCCAGACCUAGGAAGAUGUUAAAUAAGUGAGGGCAUAUCAAAUAGACACUGGGUCUCUGCAUCUCAAAAACGCAAGAAAAUUCAGGACGGGGGAAAACCUGGAGAUCUUCACCGACUGUGAAUCAACACCAUAUAAUGUGACUUUAAACAUGAAAAUGAUGUUUUAGACUUGAGUACUGGUUGAUAUUUUUUUAAAAAGAUGUAUUUUGAAAGAGUUACACACAGAGAAGGAGAGGCAGAGAGAGAGAGAGAGGUCUUACAUCCGCUGGUUCACUACUCAGUUGGCCACAAUGGCCGGAGCUGCAUUGAUCUGAAGCCAGGAGACAGUUUCUUCUGGGGGUCUCCCACGCGGCUGCAGGGCCCCGAGGACUUGGGCCUUCUUUCACUGCUUUUCCAGGCCAUAGCAGAGAGCUGGAUCAGAAGUGGAAUAGCCAGGACUCAAACUGACAUCCAUAUGGGAUGCCGGCACUGCAGGCAGCAGCAGCUUUACGUGCUAUACACCACAGUGCCAGCCCAGUUGAUGUUUUCACAGGCUUAGAUUUGUGAGUUCUAUGGUUAGAGUAGGAGGAAACAGGGAAGCAGAAAUAUGAAAAAUGCAAUCAGUUUUCCAACACUAACAUGAACUCCCUUAACAGAAGGUACUACUCCCUAAUCCUGGAUGUUUUAGUGUCGGUAAUGAUCAAAUGUUGCUAACAAGGAUUAUUUCCAUAUCCAUUAUCACACUGGAAGUCGACUAAACCCUUCCUCCCUUGGCGUUAAUUCUACAAGCACUAGUAAUGCCAUUUGUAGAAGGUGGAGACCAGAGCCUCAAAAGCAGAGGCAGGCAUUAGGCCUAAGAGAAGUUGCCGGUAAGGACACCCAUACUCCACAAUGGAGUACCUGAGUGUGAUUCCUGUAGACCUUAGAACAUAGUAGUGAUGACUUCCUGCCACUUGUGUGGGAGACCUGACUGCAUUCCUGAUUCCUGGCUCCAGCUUCUGCCCCGCCUUGGCUACUGUAGGUAGGCAUUUGGGGAGUGAACCAGCUAAUGAGAACUCUCAUUUUUUUAUUACAUUUUUGAGCUGUUUUUCUCAGGAUUCUAGAGAAAGUGGAUCACUUAUACACUGCUGGUAGGCUAUGACUGUAGAACUCUGGAAAACAUUCCCAACAGUUUCUCAUAUAACUUAACAUGUAGUUAACAUACAGGCCAGCACUUGUACUCUAGGACAUUUUAUCCUUGAGAAGUGAAAAAACUUAAAAACUCAAAUGUGCAUCAAGUGAAUGAUUACAUUUUAGCAUGCCCAUAGUGUAAAAUGCUAUGCAGCAAUAAAAGACACAAAUUCUGAUACAUGCAACAGUUCCCUUGCACCUCAAGGGAAAUAGGUUUAGACCAAAAAAAAAAAAAAAAAAAAGGAUGGUGGUUGCCGUGCAUUAGGGAUGGAAGAAGGAAAAUGUGGAUUUCAAGGGCCCAACAGUCCUAUAUUUUGAUUACACAAAUUCGUGACAAACUGCACUGAACUGUAUACACUCACUAUAUAUACAAUAAUGCUCGUAAAAUUGGUGAAAUCUGAGUAAGCUCUUUUAGCUGUACCAAUAGGAAUUUUCUGGAUUUGAUACUAUAACUACCUUUUCGAGCAACUGUGAUGAGUCACCCAGCACACCCUUGUGUAGCUUUUUACAACUCCCAUGAAUCUAUAUUUCAAAAUAAAAUCGGGGGGGAGGGGGAGUGCUGUGGUGCAGCGGGUUAACAUCCUGGCCUGAACCGCUGGCAUCCC